UACGAAGGGGGGCUAGCGUUGUUCGGAAUUACUGGGCGUAAAGCGCACGUAGGCGGAUUUGUAAGUCAGGGGUGAAAUCCCGGGGCUCAACCUCGGAACUGCCUUUGAUACUGCAAAUCUCGAGUCCGGAAGAGGUGAGUGGAAUUCCUAGUGUAGAGGUGAAAUUCGUAGAUAUUAGGAAGAAACACCAGUGGCGAAGGCGGCUCACUGGUCCGGUACUGACGCUGAGGUGCGAAAGCGUGGGGAGCAAACAGG
rnacentral:rRNA from 1 species